rnacentral:other from 1 species
AAAGCCCUGCGUUGUUCGAGUUGUAGUAUAUUACUCUUUGAGCCAACAGUUUUUUUAUUGGGAACUCGGGCUUCAAGUCUGGAAUGUAGCAUAACAGGAAAGCUUGAGAGAGUACCCACUUGUUGAGUUAUGGACCAAAGAGAUGCUGCUCACGGCAAAUGUGGGGUUUUU